rnacentral:rRNA from 1 species
GUCUAUGGCCAUACCACCCUGAACGCGCCUGAUCUCAGAAGCUAAGCAGGGUCGGGCCUGGUUAGUACUUGGAUGGGGGGGACAGAAUCAAAUUGCAGUCAUAGGUG